UGGGGAGUCGUCUAACGGCAGGACGCCAGGUUCUGGCCCUGGUAAUUGGGGUUCGAGUCCCUACUCCCCAGCAA
rnacentral:tRNA from 1 species